CCUACGGGUGGCAGCAGUGGGGAAUAUUGCACAAUGGGGGAAACCCUGAUCCAGCAACGCCGCGUGAGUGAUGAAGGCUUUCGGUACGUAAAGCUCUAUCAUCAGGGACGAAAAUGACGGUACCUGACGAGGAAGCCACGGCUAACUACGUGCCAGCAGCCGCGGUAAUACGUAGGGGGCAAGCGUUAUCCGGAUUUACUGGGUGUAAAGGGAGCGUAGGCGGCAGUGUAAGUGUGGUGUGAAAUGCCGGGGCUCAACCUCGGUACUGCACUUGAAACUGGGAGGCUAGAGUGCAGGAGAGGUGAAUGGAAUUCCUAGUGUAGCGGUGAAAUGCGUAGAGAUUAGGAGGAACACCAGUGGCGAAGGCGAUUCUCUGGACUGUAACUGACGCUGAGGCUCGAAGGCGUGGGGAGCAAACAGGAUUAGAUACCCCAGUAGUC
rnacentral:rRNA from 1 species